CAUCUGAUCUGGUUUCGGUAUGGUACAGUCACCUUGCAUAAGUUUGUGACAUACUGGUGCAGACCGUCAGACUGACUGUUUCUUGCGAUUUUUUUGGCCUAUUGAGAUUUUCUAAUUCAGCAGUCCUAUUCCUGUAAAAGGAAGCGCAGAAAAGGCGUGGGGCAUUCUUUUUUAGACGAUGACACUGAUGAAGCCCUUUUUAGUCAGAAGUUGUUCGACUAUGACUAGGAACUCAUAGAGAUUCCAAGAGUUUGCUAGUAGCCAUGGUCAUCAUUAUCGUUGGGCAAGCUUCUAUCCUAUCAUCCAAAAAUGUUAGUAAUAAUACAAGAGAAUUAAUUAACAAUUCAUCCAUGAGGAAGGAGAUGAAACCAUGGCAAUUCUAGAAGCAGAAUCGUUUGAGGGGGGCCGCAUUCCAGUUGGACUUCACCAAUUUCACAUCCAUUUCUUCGAGUUUGUAGGAUCCUUUUAUGGUUACUUCUACGCCCCUGUAAGAUCCUUCCUAGUUGGCCCUGAGCUUCCCCAUAUUAACCUCUUGUGUCUCUGAGAAUACGCUUCGGAGCACAUAGUUACCCACUUUAAAAUGCCGAGGCUGGAUUUCUUGUUGUAGUAUUUCUCAAUUCAUUGCUUUUGUGUAGCCAUCCGAAUCAGAGACAUCUCUUAUCGUCUUUCCACCAAAUUCAAGCUGCAAGGGAUGUUCAUUGUUCUAAUCCUCGGUUGCGUACGUCAACCUUAGACUUGGUUCGUAUUUCAACCGGGAUGAGUACUUACAACCCAUAUACUAAGGUGAACGGGGUCUCUCCGGUGCUCGACUUUGUUGUUGUGCGGUAAGUUCAUAACACCCCGAGUGGCUCCUCCAUCCUUUUCCCCUUUGCUGCCUCUAACCUUUUCUUUAGGCAAUUAAGUAGAACUUUGUUUAAAGAUUCGCCCUGCCCGUUGGCUUUCGGAUAGCAUGGAGUGGAGGCGAUUCUUUUCUUUUGCCAUUCUACGAAAAUUUUUGUUACUUAGCUCCAAUGAAAUGUGGUCCAAAUAUGUAUAUAAUGUUCCUCCAUCAUAGCUAUUCCCCACUUCAUGAAAUGCCAAGGGGAAAGUAUUGGAAUGUAGUGGCUCUGCAGAUUGAUGCAACCGAUGAGAGAACCAUUGGCAUUUGUCGCAUUUCUUGACAAAUUCAGUUGCAUCCUAUUCCAUUCAGGGCCAAUAUUACCCGACCCUAAUAAAUUUUCUAACUAAUGACUGAUCUCUGGAAUGGUUCCCAAAGUGUCCUUCUUAGACUUCUCUACUUAUGUAGUCUGUAUCCCCGUGCCCCGGGCAUUUAGCCAACAGAUCGCUGAAUGUUUUUCCAUAAAAAUGUCCCUCAAUGAGGUAAUAUCUUACAACCCGAGCUCUGAGCUGUCCACCAUCUUUUUUUGUCUUCGGGUAUCAUUUUGUUUUGCAAGUAAUCGAGAAAUUCAUUGCGCCAAUCACAGAUCAAAUUUGUGGCGUUUACAUUUUCUUGGUUUUGAUCGAUGGUUGAGCAAAAUAGAUGAACCACUGAAUUGGUUUUGGAGUCGGUAAUGUUUGCGGUUGACCACAAGUUGGCCAAAGCAUCCGCCUUGGCAUUUUCCUCUCGAGGUAUUUGAGUUGCUUUCCGCUCCUGGAAUUGGCUUAGGAGUUGCAUUACUUUAGCCAUGUAUUGUUGCAUGCGGGUUUCUCAUGCUACAUAAGUUUCGUGCACAUGAUUUAUGACCAACUGGGAGUCAUUUUUCAAUUAUCUUCAUUUAUCUUCAAGUCCCCGGGCUAAUUCAAGUCCUACAAUAACAGUCUCAUACUCCGUUUUAUUGUUAGUAAUUGAAUAUCACUUAAUGAAUUAUUAUACCGUUUCACCAGUUGGGGUGAUAAACAAUAUUGCAAGUCUAGAACCCUUCAUGUUGGAUGAGCCAUCUACGAAUAAGGUCCAGGUUCAUGCGACAGUUUUGGAAGCGAUUAUCGCUUCCUUUUCUACCUCAAAAGUAUGCAUGUGCUAAAGUCAGCAACAAGUUCGCUAAUACUUGUGAGUUAAUAGUAGUUAGGGGUUGAUAUGAUAUGUCGUAUGCACUCAACUCAAAUACCAAUUUGGAAAGUCGGAGCUCCAACUUGUGGAGGAUACUCUGCACGGGAAAGUAGUGACCCCUAAAAUGGGGCGACUUUGGAAGCAUAAUCUUAAUUUUAGAGCCGCCACUAUAAUUGUUAGUGCAAGUUUUUAUAAGUGCGGGUACUGGGUUAUGGCAUCUAUAAGUGACUUACCAACAUAAUAGAUUGGAGAUUACGUAUCUUUAUCUUUUCGUACCAAUACAGCACUUAAUAGCAAUUUCAGACAUGGCUAAAUACACCAACAAUCGCUCUUCCAAUCGAGGUUUUGACAAUAACAACGGGUCUGAUAGAUACUUUUUCAAGUCCAAUAGUGACUAUUGGCAUUCUGGGUCUAGUCAAAGGUUUUUUUUUCUUUCUUAGUGCAAUAACGAUUUUGUGGCAUCUUUUCGAGGAGCGAAAUAUGAACCGAUCGAGUGUCGCUAUUCGCCUUGUCGGCCUCAUUACUUAUUUUUGGUUCUUCAAUAUCUUUUCUAUGUCCUCAAUGGCCUUUAUCUAUGUAGAGUUAGCAUCUACAUCUCUAUUAGAGACUAGUAAACCAAGGAACUUACCCGAGUCGACUCCGAAGGUGCAUUUCUCUAGGUUCAGUUUCGUAUUGUACUUCCUGAGGACCUUGAAGAUUUCCUCUAGGUGAGUUAGAUGAUCAUCCGCUUGGAUAGAUUUUACCAACAUAUCAUCAAUCUAAACUUACAUGUACAUACUUAUAUAAUCCUUGAACAUUCGGGUAACGAGUCUUUGAUAUGUAGCUCUGGUAUUUUCAACCCUGAACGACAUAGUGUUGUAACAAUAAGUCCCAUGCCGUUUAAGAAAGAUGUCUUCACCUUAUCCUACGGAUCAAUUUUAUUUGGUUAUAUUCAUAAUAUGUAUCCAGAUAACUCAACAGUUCGUGACCAACAAUGGAGUCUAUGAGCUGAUCAAUGUUUGGUACCGAAAAAUAGUCUUUCGAGCAGGCUUUGUUAAGAUCUUUAUGGUCGAUACAGAAUCUCUAUUUUCCAUUCUUUUUGGGUAUCACCAAAUAUGGGCCAUCCACUCCACGUAUUUUACCUCUUGGAUGAAUCUGUUGUUCAGUAACGUGGUGACUUCUUCUUCUACGGCUCAAACUCAUUCAUGUCUAAUAUUCCUCUUUUUUUAUUUUACGGGACGGUAAUUCAGCUCCACAUUCAAUUUUUCUACUAUGCUGUCUGUCGGAAUACCUUUCAUAUCUGCAUGAGACCAAGUAAAGCAAUUUACAUUAGUUCGUAAAAAUCAAUUAACUUACAUUUUUUCUCGGUAGUCAGUCUCGAGCUGAUAUAGACCUUCCUCUCUGGCUAAAGGAUGAAGAGAUUCACUUCUUCCAACUUUUCCACAGUUGGUGUGGAGACAUCAUCCUCUUAUGGCUUGGUGAUCUUAUAUGGAAGAGGUGUAUCUUCAGGACUAUCUAAAUUAGUUCCGAAUGAUGUAUCCCUGACUCCCAAUUGUUGUGGUUGCUAUUGAAUAGUUUCUUCUUCGGGGAUGCUCUUUGCUCUCCUCGGAUUUCCCGUAUUUCUCAUUUUGAUGGGAACUUAAACACUUGAUGUAAGGUUGAGGGAACUGCAUCCAUCUUAUGGAUCCAAGGCCUUCCUUGGAUGGAAUUGUAGGUCAUAUCACCUGCUACCACAUGGAAGUGAGUACCAUUGACCACUUCCUCGACAUUGGUUGUUAGAGUCACUUCGCACCUGGUCAUCUCACUAGAGCUGUUAAAUCUGUAAAGAAGGUGCAACUUUGAAAUGGCUUGACCCAUUAGUUCCAUUUCCUCGAUCGCGCGCAGUUGAACUUUGUUUGCUGAACUACUUGGAUCAAUCAAAACUCUUCUUAUGUCAGUACCAAAAAUUUGAAAAGUGAUUAACAGUGUACUGUAGUGUGAUAUGGUCAUGCCAUUUUCAUCCUCAUCAUCAAAAUUUAUGCUUUUCCCAGCCAGCAUCUGUCGAGUAUGCUUUUUAUGAGAGAUAGACAUCUUUGCAAAUUUCUUUUACAGCAGUGAAGGUUACUCCUUUCAUUUCUUCUCAUCAAAAAAUGAUGUUCACUAUUUGUUUGGGGGUUAGGACCUUGGUGGAUCUUCCUUAUUUUUGUGCUUCAUCUUUGAUUGCUUUCCUUUUUUUAUUAAAGAGCUCGAUAAUGUACCCCUAUUUAUGCAGACGAUCAACCUCACUUUGAAGGAUCCUCAGUCGGAGAUUUUGUGACCAUGGUCAUUAUGGGAUUCACACCAGAAUUAUUCGCUUCGCUUGCUUGGGUCCGUUUUCAUCUCCUUUACCAUCUCAUUUUAUCGCCCAUAUCUCUGCGUGCUACUAUCAAUUUUGUUACAUUUAUGCUGAAGCUGUAGUCGUGAAACUUUGGCCUUAAAUACUUUCGACGUAUCUAGUUCUUUCCUGGUUCGGCGUGUUGUUGAGUAAUCUCUCUGAUGGGGAACUUUUUUUCUUGAGCGAAUCUUGGCUGUUGAUUAUUUUCUCGACGUAAAGGUAUGGGGUAUGGUUCAUACUGCAACCUGGAAUCUCCGCACAUGGGUUCAUCCCGUAUGUGCGUCAUUUUUGGCUGUUGACUAUGCCCAGCGGUAUCUCUCCCUUAAAAAAGGGGAGUACUGAGAUAUCCUCUUUUAUGCGAAGCUUCAUGCUAUCUCAGUGGUGCAUAUCGUUCCAUGUGUUUGGUAGGAAAUUCCCGUAGGCACUCCUUAAGUCUCUUCGAGGCUUUCCACCUCUCUCGGUUCAAGUUCCUGGUAAGAGCCAUAGGUGCCCAAUUGUCGUCGACUUUCAGAAGCACCAUACUUUCCCUCUGAAACCGAUCAAUGAAAUCUCGGAGUGACUCUGUCCUUCUUUAUACGAUUUUGAAGAUAUAUUCCACCUUUUGUGCUCUGGACUAGGCUUUGAUAAAAGCAUCUGCAAGUUCAACAAAAGAAUUGAUAAAAUGUUCAAGUAAAUGUUUGUAUCAUGUUAAAGUCCCUUUGGCCAAAGUCUCCCCAAAUCUUUUGAUAAGCAUCAAUCUGAUCUCCUUCUUUAUGAGGGAGUUCCCUUUGAUCCUGGUCAUCCCUGGUACCGUCUUAUUUCAAAAUUUCUAGCAUUUUUAAUUUCUUCAAAAUCGACAACGAAGUCGCACUAGGCUUCCAUGGUUAUUGGGAAUAUUUAUCCACGUCAAUCCCUUUUACGACAGACAGGACUCCUAGGAUCUGCUCAAUCCUCUCCUUUUGUUCCUUAAGCUAUUGCUGAAAGGUUAGAAUUAUAUUUUGUAACUUAGCAUUUACAAUCACAUAUGAACCUCCGGAUUCGUCUUUGUUUUAAUGUUCUCGAGCUGCUGUGUGCAGCAUUUUGGAAUUAGGGGUUUGUUCUCGGUGGCGGAGUAGGUGUUACAAUAGUUGCUCCGCUCGUUAAGGCCAACAAUGCUUCUUUGCAUUUGGCGUUCGGCUUAUGUUCCUUCAUCAUAAAAAAUUUCACCAUCUCCUCCAAACCACAAUCAUUAGGGCGGCUGCUAGUGGAUCAUAUCUGGGUCAUUGAUAAGUUGGUAUUUUACCAACUUAUCUCUUCUUUAUACUUAGCUUUUGUAUGAUUUUGUUGAGAAACUAAGGCAUUUAUUGAGGUUUAUUGGCACAUUUCAGGUAUCAAGUGAUUAAGAGAAGAUACAAAAGAAAACAAGUCAAAAUGUGUUAAAAAGGGAAAAAUUAACUGCUGCCAGUGAAUGCUUUUCGUGAUCGCGGAGAAUUCCAUGCGGUCGCGUAAUUUUAGCAGUUAAGCCAUCGCAAAUGCAGUAGAAGUCAUGCGACCGCGAAGAAGUAAAGCUGGACAACCACUUGUCAAACUUUCUACGCGAACGCGUAUCUUGCUCGGCGAUUGUGUAGCUUUGCAGAAGUUGGUCACCACAAUUGCGGUUCUUGUUUCGCGAUCACAUAGCACAUUAAAUGGACAGAUUCCAGGCAGAAAUGAAAUUUCACGUUUUUGAUCCCCAAGCUAUUCAAUACAUGACCUAGCUUAUUAGAAAUACAUCUUUGGCUUAUUUUUCAGUAUCUUCACUAAGAGAAACAAUCUUGGGAGCUAGGGUCUAACACACACACUUGGGACUUGAAGAUUUGAAGCUCUUGGCUGAGAAUUUCUUAUCCAUUUAUGUUCAUUUCUUUAUAUCCAUGCUUUGUAUUGAAUAUUUAAGUGUGUAGUAUUUUUUUCAAUGAUUGAAUCUUGUUUAUAGGACUAUUCAUAUUUAAAGUGUAGAUUAAAUAUCUUGUUGUGC
rnacentral:lncRNA from 1 species